rnacentral:misc_RNA from 1 species
GCAAACCACGUGUCCACUUUCAUUUUCGAUGACGACGCAAAAGAUUCCGAAUUCAAUAUGGGGAGAACGAUUUUAGCAGAUGAGUAUUUACAGAGCUAUAUAUUCGAAAUUCUUAAGUCUGGUAAAUGGACUAUCGGAUUAAUAAUAGGACAGCUGACAUCACAAAAAGAUUAUGCUGUAAAAUUAAUUCGUACACCGGAGCCGGUCGAAGACGAAUGCAGUGAAGAUGAGGAAUCGGCAAGUCCAUCGAAGAAGAGAAAAAGAAACAAACCCGAAAGUCUGGCGACCGUGGACGAACAAUGGGUGGAAUUGACGUUAUUGGAAUUUUCGUUGUUGCACCACCAAAAAUGACCCAGCCGGCGCAAUCAAAGUUAAGGCAGGUGUUAUUUGCGAUUCAGAAAGUGCAGAAAAAGACAUUUCCUUUAGAAGGUGAGCAGAGUGUCACAGACCGAAUUCUGCUUCAGGUGUGUUCGGAGACAAAAAAGUUCACCUGUCGUACUGUGGAUGUAGCCGACCCGAAAAGCGACAUGCGUCCCGCGGAAUGGAAAAGUCAGUCUUCGGGAGAAACAUGGAUUAAGCUUCAGUCUCGCGUCAGUGUCAACAUUCACAUCAAUAUUCCCCAGAAAAAUCAAGAUCAGAUGUUCUUCAAGCGAAUUCAGGGUGCCAUCUUGCCAUACUGUCAGCGUAUUCAGGACGGAAUAGUUAUGAUUGACAACAAACUGCGCGGGGGUCAAGAGCUGCUGGUUCCCUCGCAGUAUGACGGGAAAAAAGGGAAAGGAAAGGAAAAGGGCGCAGUAAUGAAAGAACCAAUGAAUGUGAAGUUCCUGACGCAGUUGGAGUCGAGCAUUUCCACAGCCCCUGUGAUUGAGGAUUGCAGUUCUCGUAUGAUCAUCAAAGGCUGCGUCAGCUGUAGAGCAUUCGUCAACUCGCGAUCCACUGUAGAUGAAGCAACACGUGCCAUAAAAGCUGACUUUAUUCGAAGUUUGAUCAGUCGCUGUGAAUUACUGAGCGAGGAUAUUGAUGUCAUUGAAGAGGAGACAAGCAUUAAGGAACUCUACGACACACCUAUCAGAGUGUUCGGUUGUCUGCCUUCGUCGACCAUCGAGUUCUGUGACUACGUCUUUCAAGAUGAAAAGAUUGAAGAAGUCAUUCAGAGAAUAAAAGAAUUGCUCGAUGUCUUGGUAACAGAAAAUGACCUUGACCUUACUAGUGAAAAAGUGGCCACAGAAGAGGACUGGUCCAAUGCCCAAGGUGUGCAGGCCCAGAUAUCAGCUAGUGAAUCUACCCCAUCUGGACAGGUCCGGGAAAUUCCUAUUGGUGCAAUUCUUGGAGCAGCUGUGUUAAUAUUAUCUGUAGUUUUGUACUUCGUAACAUCUUAACUUUGUUCAAAAGUUAAAUUACACUACAGUGUUCUUGACAAUACUUCAAUUAAAUGUUGUUUUAAUGGUUUAAAAUUAAAUGUUGUACCAAUGUU